AGCAAGGCCACUGCACUGCAUUGGCCACUGCAGCACUGGUGGGACAAGGAAAGACUUUGCCAUCACUCCCAGAGAAGCCAAAAGCAGUAUUCACCAUGAAGGUCAUAUUGGAAACAAUGCCUAUUGAUCUGAGCCUGUGCAAGAGAAACAUGGUAGAUGCAGAGUAACGAUUUGGUCCCGUCGCCAUGCACUGAGGCUGCGCGUGUCUGAGCCCAAGGCAAACCAUUCCUGACAUCCCUCUGCAAACUGCCCAGUCCUCCUCCCAGUGCUGGGGUGUGAGGGGUGCAGGUCCAUAUGCUGAAAUCAUGAAGACUCGUUCUCCUGUUGCCAUGUUUCUCUUAUCUUUCACAUACUUUGGUGUAUUGAGUACCAUUAACCUUUAAAGUAUGAGUUAACCUUUGAGUAUGUUCACUUAGUAAUGAAAGUGUUCAGAGUUUUCCCAGCUACUGUUUAUCACCUAACUAAUACUGAAAUAUGAAGAAUGCAUAUGCUUGAGCUUUGCCAUUUUUUUUUAGAGUUCAUUGGUUCAAAAAGAGCAUGAUGGAAAAUUUUGUAAGAUCAGCAUCUUAGAUGAUACGCUGAAAGACAAGGUCAUGUGGUCCUUCAGCACCUUGUUUUCCAGAUGUUGAAAUGGAGUUGCUGAUUUUUAUUGAAAGAGGACAGAAAAAAAUUGCCUUGACCAUAGCAGAAUAGCAGAGAAAUAAUGACAAAAUCAAUUUGAGUGACAAUCAAAUUGCAAUGCUGGGGAAAAAAGAAAUGCAAUUCCUAGUAUUAAGUGAAACUGAAGUAUGCAAUAUGUUCUUUUUGUUUAGGAAGGGACUUUGAGUGAUCUUCUAGAGAGACCAACCUAAAGCAAAAUCAGGUCUGUUAGGCAGCUGCUGCCACUCUGUCAGCUGUCUCAUCUGUCCAUAAAAAUCUCCAUAAAUAAAGAUUCUCCAACCUUC